AAAAUGUCUAUGAGGUAAGAGAGAGUGUCAACUGUGUCAAUUGCUAUUGGCAGUAUGCAAUAAAAGCCAUGUGAUCUGUGGAUCUUCAUGUGAUCCAGGAAGAAGAGCAGCCUUGCGAAUAAUAAAAAUACUUGUUGACUGGAGACUUCAUAAAGCAUUUUCAACAGGUUGCUCAAGUCAAAUCUAUAUCAAAAUGCAAGUGAUCCAGACGAUAGAGACGCAGUUACCCAUCGUGCGAGAGAGUUUCCACUCCUCCCCAUUUAGAGAGAGACGGACGGAGAGGAGAAAGAGCAGCCUCACAAAUCUCAUCAGAAGACAACAGCAGCUGUCUUCACGACCUGCACAUGCUAAGCUGAACCGCUCCUCCAGCAGCCCUUUAUGUGACCUGGCAGAGCAAACUGAUGAGAGAGUCCUGGAAAGAGAUGGAGAGAUCAGGAGGCAGGGGGAGCUGUGUCUCCGGCAGUCCUCGGCUACAGCGUCACUGCUCGCAUCAUCACAGCUGCUGCUCCUCCCGGUGGAAAGAGAGAGAGAUGGAUUAAAGAGAGAGGGGAGAAAGAGAGAGAAGCAAAGAGAACGGGAGAGUCAAUCCUCCCGCACGCGUGCCCAGCAUGGCUUGAUCGCUAAAGGUGUGCACUUUCUGAGGACCAUGGGAAAUCAAGAGGCCAAGCAGAGGAAGUCCACUACCACGGUGGUUGCGGAGGGUCCUGGCAAUGGGGUGAGCUCUGAUGACCACGAACACCUGAAAAAGAUUAUGAAGUCCCAAAGCAAAGCCAGCAAAUUAUCGAUCGACUCUAACAAGAAGAAAUCCAAAUCCGAGGGCUGCAAAAGUUCUGUAUUUUCCAACAUCCGUAUCCGAAAGGGGCUCCGGAAAGGGUUAUACAAAGAGGAUGUACUGGAUGGUGGGAUUAGGAUUAACGCAGUAGAUGCCAAUGGAAGCAAUGAUGGCAGAAUGUCAGGGGAUGAGCUGGAGGGUCUGACGUCUGACAGUAAGCUAGAUCGAAAUCAAAUCACCGCCGAAAGCAGGCAGUCGACCCUGGACACUACAGAAGAGGAUGUUGGGAGAGAGACGGAGGGGUCGGGGUCGGAUACAGACAUUUACAGCUUUCAUUCAGCAUCUGAUGCUCAAGAUCUGCUGUCGGAUAUCCAGCGAACUAUCAGUCUGCAGCAGCAGAGUGAAAGUAUUGCUGAGGGGAAGAGUUGUGAUGAUGGGGACCGAAAGAGUCAGAUAGGGUCUAAGGAUAAGGGCCAUGAGGUCAAUGAGGGUCCUGUUAGUAAAGGUGGAGAAAGGGUUUCUUGUAUGGAUAAACUAGAGAGGGAAGGAAGUGUGUCUUGCGCUAAAGAACAAAAUGUUAAAUGUAGUGAAGACACAGAUGGAGAGGUGAAUAAAACCACAUUCAGUUUAUCUGGUGACCAUAACAUGCAAGAUACUAUCACCAAGACAAGUACCUUGCAGGGUAUCAUGGCUGUAAGCAAAUCUAUCAGUAACUAUAGUUUUCAAGAUACCACAGCAACAACCACCUCCUACGAGAGUGCAGAGGAUAUUUUUGAGAGUUCAUCACUUUCCCUUCCCCUUGAAGACAGUCACUAUGGUAACAGUAGCUUAACCCAAAGCCUAGAAGAAGGCCUGAACCAAAUGAAUGACCCUCAGGUUGACCCUGCAUUAAAUGACAUCAAGAUCAAUUUAAUGCCCAAGAAAAGCAUCAGUAGCAUGGAGCUGAACAUCGAACCAUGUGAGGAUGAUGAUGCUAUAGAAGAAAAACAGCGAGAGAGGACCACUCAGAGGAGAAAAAGCAGUGCUGAGUCUUUUACACAGUUGUCACCUGAGAGCUUUUCAGGCCCUCGUAGGACCUCCUGUACAAACCUUGGGGUUAAAUCGUAUCCAACGAUACAUACUUCCUAUGUUAAAACGACAACGAGACAGCUCACGUCACCUGUAGUUUCUCCAUGCACCACUCCUUUACCGAGCCCUCGUAGGGUCGGAUUAGAGUUAAACUUUGGUCAAGGGUCAAAGAAGGCAGGAAGCUGGAGAGCAAGGAGACAACGAUCUUGCAGCAUUGCAGGGCCAGUGUGUUGUCAUGAUGACUGGGGUGAAGCUUUCCAUGGCCAGUCAGAGCUUAUAGAAAGAGGUUUUCAGACCAUCAGAACCCAGAAAGCAUCAUCCAUCUUUCCAGAUGCGUUUUCAGGUCGCUCUCUGUUAGAGAUGUGUUUAAUGCAGUGGGGUUGUACUGAAGAUGACAGUAGCGCACAGGACGUUGAGAGAUUCUGUUCCCGGCUUUUGGCUCUGGGAAUUUUACAGCCCUUCAGUGACUGCCUCACGGAACCUCACACAGGAAGUGAUAUCACAGACAAGCUCACAUUUAAUACGGAUCAGCUGUAUACCUGGGCUUCAGUGGGACACAGUGAGAUCAGAACACCUGGGAGGUUGCAAAACCGGUGGCCCCCAACCCCUUCUGUACCACAGGUGCAAAUAUAUGCAUGUGAUGGAUCCACAGAGCAAUAUGGGGUCGUUCCGGAGGGAAGUUCUGUUCCCAUUCAGGAGCUUGAGAGAACUAUUGAAGAAUUACUUGCGAAAAUAUCGGAUAUGGAAAAAGAGAAUACACUUUUGGACAGCGCCAAGUUUGGAACAAAGGAUGGACAAGAGGCUGGUUAUAAUCAGAUUAUCAAACAUUCACAGAAUAAAGUAAACGUACAACAAGUUUUGCAGAACGUAAAAGCCAUUCAAACCUCGCCUGUUGAGGAAGCCUUUAAAUAUCCAGUGCCUUUACCAGACAGAUCCAAGACUUCCAAAAUAAGUCACAAUGCCACUUCAGCAAUGGGAAUGCCCAAUAUAUAUAUCUGCCAAAGACAGGAAGUCCCUCCUCUUUUACCUUCACUACUUCCAGUUUCAGUUGCAUCCUCAGUACCUAAACCACAGUCACAAUCACAGACAGAUGUAUCAGUACCUCCACCCCCAGCUCCAACCCCACUCCCAGGUAUGCCUCCACCCCUUCCUCCUCCACUCCCAGGUAUGCCUCCACUUGCUCCUCCUCUCUUAGGCAUGGCUCCACCUCUUCCUCCACUCCCAGGUAUGGCACCACCUCCUCCUCCACUCCCAGGUAUGGCACCACUUGCUCCUCCUCUCUCAGGUAUGGCACCCCCUCCUCCUCCACUCCCAGGUAUGCCUCCACUUGCUCCUUCUCUCUCAGGUAUGGCACCACCUCCUCCUCCACUCCCAGGUAUGGUUCCACCCCCUCCUCCUCCUCCACCUCCUGGUUGUGGACCUCCACCACCCCCUCCCCCUCCUGGUUUUGGGCCCCCUCCACCCUUCAUGGGAUUGGUGCCACCGGGCAUGUCUCAGGAGUCUGCCCCCUUAAAGGCUGUUAUUGAGCCUCUGCGACCCAUGAAACCACUCUAUUGGACCAGGAUACAGCUACAUACCAAAAAGGAUGCCAGAAGCUCUCUGGUAUGGGAGAAAGUUAAAGAGCCAUCCGUUGACUUGGACGAAUUUGUGGAGCUGUUUGCCAAGAGUGCAGUAAAGGAGAAGAAAAAGCCCAUUUCAGACACCAUAACAAAAUCAAAGGCCAAACAAGUUGUCAAGCUACUGAGUAACAAACGUUCUCAGGCAGUGGGGAUUCUUAUGUCCAGUCUUCAUUUAGAUAUGAAGGACAUCCAGAAUGCCAUCUUGAACAUGGACUGCUCGGUGGUGGAUCUGGAAACGCUCCAGGCUCUGUAUGAAAACAGGGCUCAGAAAGAAGAGAUGGAUCAGAUUGAGAAGCACAUCAAAUCUUCAAAAGACAAAGAGAACUUGAAACCGCUGGACAAGCCUGAGCAGUUUUUGCUACAGCUGUCCCAGGUUCCUCAGUUCUCCGAGCGAGUUUUCUGUAUUCUCAUUCAGUCCAGCUUUACUGAGUGUAUUACAUCACUUCAGCACAAGCUGGAAACCCUGCUGAGAGUCUGCACGGCUCUACAGUCAGGUCAAGGUGUUCUCCGGAUUCUAGGUUUGGUUCUUGCUUUUGGGAACAUUAUGAACGGUGGAAACCGAAGCCGAGGACAGGCAGACGGAUUCACUCUCGACAUCCUGCCUAAAUUAAAAGACGUCAAGAGCAGUGAUAAUUCUCAGAGCCUCCUGUCCUACAUAGUUGCUUACUAUCUGCGACACUUUGAUGAGGACGCAGGUAAAGAAACGUGCGUGUAUCCACUUCCCGAGCCUCAGGAUUUAUUUCAAGCUUCUCAAAUGAAGUUUGAGGAUUUUCAACGUGACCUGCGCAAACUACGUAAAGAUCUAAACGGUGAGCCUGUUCUGCAGAAACUGAAAAGAUGUGCAAUGUGUCAUCUGAGGAGCACCUGCAGCCCUUUAAGGACAAAAUGGAAGAAUUUCUUACUAGAGCUAAAACCGAGCUUGAGCUUCGGGAGAAACAGCUCACUGACACACAAAAGAUUUUUCUGGAGCUCAGCGUGUUUUUCUCAGUCAGGCCUAAGGGAGGAGAGAACGAGGUUUCACCAAACACAUUUUUUACACCAUGGCACGAGUUUUCUUCAGAUUUUAAGGAAUUAUGGAAGAGAGAGAAUAAAAUCAUACUGCAGGAGAAGUUAAAAGCAGCAGAGAUGACUUUCAGGGAGGCACGAGAAAAAAUAUCCUACAGCAUCAAACCUAAACAAGCAUCAGGAAUAAAAGCCAAGCUGAGACAGAAGAUGUGAAUUUCUGUGCUACCUACAUUACAGUAAUUGCAACAAAACUCACAUGCUUGAUUGUUUUUACUUUAUUUUGUCUUCUUAAUUUAUUCAACCUACAGUAUGCCAAAUGUGAUAGCAAUAAGUAUACUAAGGGGCAGUUUCCCAGACAGGAUUUAGAUUAUUCCAAGACUAUGCCUUAGUUUGGACAUUUACAAACAUACCUUACAAAAAACAAUACUGGUGUGGUUCUUGGAAUAAAAGAGUGUCAGUAAUAUAUGUUAAGAUAUGUCAGUGCAAGAUGUUUUUAAACUAAGACAGCUUAAACAUGCAUUUUAGUCUGGGACUAGGAUAAGCCCUGUCCGGGAAUCGCCCCUAAAAGUUUUUGUACAGUACAUGAAUACGGUUAUAUUUAGCUAUUCGUGCAGUUCUGUAUAAAGACACUUAAAGCUUAAGCAUAAGAUAUUUUUAUAAAUAUGGGACAAUACAAUGUUCAAUAUGGUCCUGUCUUCUAAAGAACUAAUCAUCAAUUGAUGAAAACUGACGAUUCCCUAGAGGAGGGGUUCACACAGUCCCAUGAGGUGCUUGCCAACCUGUCCGCAUGUUCAGUAGCUGAAACGGCUUUGAAUAAAGGCGUUUUUACAGCAAUUUAAAUUUAUGAAACAAAAGUUAUAGUACAGUUGAUGUCAGGUUUGUUGGUCAGAAAUAUGUUAUUUAAUUGUGAUUUUUGAGAUAUAUGUCUUUUCAAGUAAGCAUUGCAAAGAUGGCCGCCUAGUGGCCCUCUUGGGACUUUGGCUCAAGCCACAAAACUAAACAAUUUAUAACUUCAGAUUUGCAGAAGCACAUGCUAAAUAUGUUGUAAACCCACACUGUUAUUUAAAAUACAUGUAUGUGGAAUGGAUUUAAAAUAUAGUUUUAUUGGUAGCUGAAGAUACUCCAUACAUUCUGUGCAGGCACAGAACCAAUGAGAAAUUUUACCAGACGAGAGAUUACAUUCAAUUCAGUUUGCAAUACUAAUUCUGGAUAUAAUGUUUAUGUAAUAUGAAAAUAAAAUUAUAAGUGAAAACAUAAA